CGGGGUGUAGCGCAGCUUGGUAGCGCGUCUCGUUCGGGACGAGAAGGUCGAAGGUUCAAAUCCUUUCACCCCGA
rnacentral:tRNA from 1 species